CCCGGGUGGCAGAGGUUGCAGUGAGCUGAGAUUGUGCCACUGCACUCCAGCCUGGACGACAGGGCAAGAUUCUGUUAAAAAAAAACAAAAAACUGCGUACUGCAGGCUAGCCAAGCUGACACAAAAGUCUAAACAUCACAGACAUCAUCAGGGUCAACCGGUAGAAAUUAAAGGACUUAAAUUAGUGUUUCAGUAGGCAUGCUUGAACCGGAAUAGACACUGUGGGGGGAGGGGCGUGCAGAGUUCUGUGCAUCGACUGCUGACUGCUCAGAGUCAGGAAACAAACCAUACAUAUUCUGUUUGCCCCAUCUGGGCUAUGCCACUAUAGUGUCUUGCAAUACAUCCUAACAAUUAGGAACCCUAUUAAGGUUGGUGCAAAAGUAAUUGCAGAUUUGCCAUUGAAAGUAAUGGCCAAAACCACAGUUACUUUUGCACCAAUCUAUAGAUUGAAACGAGACUGAUGAUUCCCUCCCUGGAGUCUUAUAAACAGGAUGGGAGCCAUCCAGGCAGUUAGAGGGAUUAUACUUCCUGGGGGUGGGGGACUAAAAUAGAAGUCCACAAUAAAACCAUUUCCUGGCUGGGCGAGGUGGCUCAUGCCUGUAAUCCCAGCACUUUGGGAGGCCUGAGUCAGGUGGAUCACCUGAGGUCGGGAGUUUGAGACCAGCCCGACCGACAUGCAGAAACCCCGUCUCUACUAAAAAUACCAAAUUAGCCACGCAUGGUCGCGCAUGCCUGUAAUCCCAGCUACGCAGGAGGCUGAGGCAGGAGAAUCGCUUGAACCCGGGAAGCGGAGGUCGCAGUGAGUCGAGAUCGCGUCAUUGCACUCCAGCCUGGGCAGCAAGAGCAAAACUCUGUCUCAAAAAAAAAACAAAAACAAAAACAAAACAAAACAAAAAAACCCAUUUCCUAUCAUCCAGCAGAUACCAAAUACAGAGCGCAUUCAACCUCAGGCAUUUGCUUCCUAACUCCUACAAUUUGAUCUAUUUCCUUCUACAAAAAAAUUACGUGCACAGCGUCAGAAGGGCAGUGAAAAAUGAGGAAUGUUCCACUUCUGUUGUUGCCAGGGCGUUCCUAAAUAUCCUGCAAAUGCAGGAGUCCUCUGCCAACGGGUGCUAGCGCUCAAGGCUUUGGCCUGGAAUCAGUGUGAAACUUCUGUUCUCUCUUCCUGCAAAUCCAGAUGGAGCCCCUGGAUCAUAAAAUAAAAACGGGACCAAUGUCCAGGAAUGGCUCCUAUUAGGUUGGUGCAAAAGUAACUGCGGUUUCUUGGCUGGGUGCAGUGCCUCACGUCUGUAAUCCCACCACUUUGGGAGGCUGAGAUGGGUGGAUCACCUGAGGUCAGGAGUUCCAGACCAGCCUGGCCAAAAUGGUGAAACCCUGUCUCUACUAAAAAUAUAAAAAUUAGCUGGGCAUGGCAGCGGGUGCCUGUAAUCCCAGGUACUCGGGAGGCUGAGGCAGAGAAUUGCUUGAACCUGGGAGGCAGAGGUUACAGUGAGCUGGGGUUGCAUGGUGAAAUCCCAUCUCUACUAAAAAUACAAAAAUUAGCCAGGCAUGGUGGCACAUGCCUGUAAUCCCAGCUACUCAGGAGGCUGAGGCAGAAGAAUCGCUUGAACCUGGGAAGCGGAGGUUGCAGUGAGCUAAGAUCGUGCCACUGCACUCCAGCCUGGAUGACAAAGUGAGACCCCACCUAAAAAAAAAAAAUCAAUAAAAAUAAAAAGGCCGGGCAUGGUGGCUCACGCCUGUAAUCCCAACACCUUGGGAAGCCGAGACGGGUGAAUCACGAGGUCAGGAGUUCAAGACCAGCCUGGGCAACAUGGUGAAAACCCCAUCUCUACUAAAUAUACAAACAUCAGCUGGGCAUGGUGGCAGGUGCCUGUAAUCCCAGCUACUCGGGAGGCUGAGGCAGAGAAUUGCUUGAACCUGGGAGGCAGAGGUUGUAGUGAGCCGAGAUCAUGCCACUGCACUCCAGCCCGGUCAACAGAGUGAGACUCCGUCUCAAAAAAAAAAAAAAAAAAAAGUAAUUGCAAUGUCAUAAAUGUAAUGGCAAAAACCGCAAUUACUUUUCCACCAACCUGAUGGAAGUAGAUCCUGGUGCGUUGCCCAGGCAUGCCGUUUAUAGGUAAAUGGAAAGGGCAAAGGUACACAGGGAGAUAACUAGAUAGCAUGAAGCCCUGAUCUCAGGUCUUUGUCAGCUUGUGGCAGGUGGAAUUAAGCCUAUUUAGCAGAAACUCAAAGGCACACUUCCCCUGCUGUACAGUGAACACACGCAUUUGUAGAGCUUGGACCACAGAUAUCAGGGACCCCUGACUUGACAUAGCGUGCAGAUGGAAAGUGGGGUGAAAGUCCUUCUUCCAGAGUCUGAAGUUGACCCAUGAGCUAGCUCUCUGAAGCUAGCAGGCCUGGCCAGGGCUUAACACAUCUUCCCAUAAUGCACACACAUUGUCCAGACUAAAUGUUUAUUUCUCAACCUACAUAUCAACUCUCCACUCUGUUUCAACGUGAGCAUCCAAAAACCUAUCAAAUAACCACAAUUCUUACAGUCAAAGUGAAUUUUUAUCAAUAGCAUUCUUUUCAGAUUUCUCCAGUAAACUGUCUACCAAAGGGAGGGUAUAAAACCUUCUGCUAUGAACAGUUAUCACAUAAAGGUAUGUAUUUCCAUCCUGGCCAUGUUAUUUGGGUUUGUGUGAUCUUUACUGGGCCACAAGAAUAUUAGCAUCUGGAAGUCAGCAAGUUCUCUGAAAAAUCAAACUGGUGGCUUGUUCCCAAAGAUGGUACCCAAAGAGCGAUCUACCAGUAUUUAUUCCCUGUGUCAUUCCUUCCCCUUGAAUCAGGACUGGACCUAUGACUAGGUUUUAACCAAUAGAAUAAAGCAGAAGUGAUGCCUGUGACUCCUAAAGUCAGAUCCUAAGAAACAUUGAAAGUAUCACCUUAAGUCUCUUGGAGCAUCCUCACUGGGAGACGGCCAUGCUGUAAGGAAGCCCAAGCUAGUCACACAGAGAGGCAUCUUUUAAUUUUUUUCUUUUAUUUUUAGAAAUCGGAAUGGGGGGAAUAAAAGAAAUUGGAAUAGGAGUAUGAGAGGCAUCUUUAAGAUACAGAUGUCCAACCAGCCCGAAGCUGUUCCAACCUUCAGAGCCCAGGUGCAAGCCAUGUGAGUGAAGAAGUCUUCAAACAAUCCCAGCCCUAGAUAUUAUCUGGCUGCAGUAUCAUGACAGACUCCAAAUUAGAACCACUCAGCUGAGCCCAGUAAAGCCCUAGAACCACAGAAUUGUGUUUUAAGCCAGGAGUCAGCAAACUACCAUAUACAAACCAAAUCGGGCCCACUACCUUGUUUGGUAAGCAAAGUUUUGUUGGCACACGGCCACACUCAUUCAUGGAUGUAUUGUCCAUAAUGUUUUCAUGCUGUAAUGGCAGAGUAGUAGAAACAUGGCCUUCAAAGCUGAAAAUAUUCAUUCUCUAGCCCUUCUCAAAAAAAAAAAAAAAAAAAAGUCUGCCCUAUGGAGUCAUAGAACAGAAAACAGUUCUGUGCCCUCCCUUUGCAGGUGGGAUGGCGGUGAGGGAGGUUGGACCAUGGAAGACCUUGGGUCAGGGAGCCACCUCACUCCCUCCCUCCACCAAAAACAAACAAACAAAAAAAAGUUUGCCAAAUCUCUACUUUAAGCCACUAAGUUUGGGGGUGGUUUGUUAGGUACUAGUAAAGAAAACAGAACAUUAAUAAUUUCACAAUCUGUAUUUUGCAACUGAAGGAUACUGAAAAAUUGAUUUCUAAACUAAGUACUAUAAAAUGUUGCCAGGACCACUUGUUUCUUUCCUAACAUUCCUUCCUGGAACAAAUGUUCUAAGUUUUCCAAUUCCAUUAGCAGAAUGAUGACUCAGCACAAAUUCAAAGGACUAAACCUGAGUUUGAAUCACAACUAGGUCACUUUCUUUUUUUUGAGACAGAGUCUCACUCUGUGCCCAGGCUGGAGUGCAAUGGCACGAUCUCGGCUCACUGCAACCUCCGCCUCCCAGGUUCAAGCGAUUCUCCUGCCUCAGCCUCCCGAAUAGCUGAGACUACAGGUGUGCAGCACCACCAUGCCCGGCUAAUUUUUGUAUUUUGAGCAGAGACAGGGUUUCACCAUGUUGACCACGCUGGUCUCGAACUCAGGUGAUCCGCCCGCCUCGGCCUCCCAAAGUGCUGGGAUUACAAGCAUGAGCCAACAUGCCCAGCCACAGCUGGGUCACUAACUCUGUAACUAAGGAUGAGUUAAUUAAUCAUUUUUUUCCUGCGGGAGAAAAGGGAGCCUAACAGUGUUGUGAUUAAGAGCACAU
rnacentral:lncRNA from 1 species